rnacentral:misc_RNA from 1 species
AGAGGGCGAAUUGGGCCUCUGCAUAUGCUUUUGUGUAUGCAAGGCCUGGAACUUAGCAAGAAGGUGCCGCUGAUGGAGGCCCUGCUGUGUGCUAUAAACACAUUUUUGUGUUUGGUCGCAGCAGGCGUCUCUGCCUGUGGACACAAUACUAUAUCUUCUAAUUUGGUCUCAAAUCAGGCAGGACUACCCGCUGAACUUAA